CAUCACUUUAGAGUACAAAUCUAUAGUUUCAAGGUAUGUCAUUACCAAUUGAAAAAAUAAAAACAAAAUUAUUCAGUGUUUAAUACAAUUAUUGAAGAGAUUAUUUGCUUGUGGGAGAAUUCAAUCUUUCCAGCACGACAUUUGUCUAACUAUUAUCGUGAAUUUGAUAUCCACUCUCAUUCACAAUAGCCAUCAAUGCACACAGAAAGUUCAUAUUGCCUACAGAAAGUUCAAGCAACUGUGAGAUUCAACUUUUUUCAAAACAACAAAUAAUAAAAGAAAUAAAAUUAUAGCUGCAACAAAGUUAUGCUGAGACCAUCAAAUCAAAGUUGCAAGGUGCAUGAAAUAUUUGUAACAAGACAAUUUAAUUUCAUUAUCAGCCUUAUCUUUUUUUUAUUGGAAUGCAUUAUUUUAUCAGAAUUAAGCAAAAUUAAAAAUAAAAAUAUGAUUAUUGGUUCCAUACUAUCAGAAGACAGUGUUCCCCUUAGAUUGAAAUUCAACACAAUAGCCACCACUGCAAAUAGCAAUGAUGUUGUACGGCUGUAGGACUUGAUCAGGACAAUCUCUAGCAGUUUUACAUUUGGUAUUUGUAAGCGGUGGAUUUUUUUCAGAAAAAAAAGAUUUAAUCGUUGGAUUGCUUUGAUAUGUACUGACAUCCGCCUCUGUAAUAAAAAAUAGAAAAUAAAAUAAAAUUAUUGUGAGAGCUAACUUAAUAGUUUUAUCCAUUUUUUUCUUCCUUUUUGUAUAUAACAAAGAGAAUACGAUUUUAUCAAUUUAUAGUGUACAAAACUCACCCAAUGUUAAAACAAUUUAAUAAUUUUUAGCACUUAAGUUUACCA
rnacentral:lncRNA from 1 species